rnacentral:rRNA from 1 species
AGGACGAACGCUGGCGGCGCGCCUAACACAUGCAAGUCGAGCGAUAACCAGGGCUUGCCCUGGGGACAGCGGCGAACGGGUGCGUAACACGUGAGCAACCUGCCCCAAAGACCGGGACAACCCGAGGAAACUCGGACUAAUACCGGAUGCCCUCACCGGGCCGCAUGGUCUGGUGAGGAAAUGGAUUCCGCUUUGGGAUGGGCUCGCGGUCUAUCAGCUUGUUGGUGGGGUAACGGCCUACCAAGGCGACGACGGAUAGCUGGUCUGAGAGGACGAUCAGCCACACUGGGACUGAGACACGGCCCAGACUCCUACGGGAGGCAGCAGUGGGGAAUCUUGCGCAAUGGGGGAAACCCUGACGCAGCGACGCCGCGUGCGGGAUGAAGGCCUUCGGGUUGUAAACCGCUUUCAGCAGGGACGAAUUGACGGUACCUGCAGAGAGGCCGGCCACUACGUGCCAGCAGCCGC